rnacentral:rRNA from 1 species
AAGGCUAAAUACUCCUGACUGACCGAUAGUGAACCAGUACCGUGAGGGAAAGGCGAAAAGAACCCCGGCGAGGGGAGUGAAAAAGAACCUGAAACCGUGUACGUACAAGCAGUGGGAGCCCCACCACUAAGCCAGUGGUGAACUCCACAUACGCAUCCUUUGCUGAAGGCAAUGGUUAACGGAGCGAAAGCGACGUUCAACCGCAAAAGAAGCAGAGGGGGCUUAGUGGUGGGGUGACUGCGUACCUUUUGUAUAAUGGGUCAGCGACUUAUAUUCUGUAGCAAGGUUAACCGCAUAGGGGAGCCGUAGGGAAACCGAGUCUUAAUUGGGCGUUAAGUUGCAGGGUAUAGACCCGAAACCCGGUGAUCUAGCCAUGGGCAGGUUGAAGGUUGGGUAACACUAACUGGAGGACCGAACCGACUAAUGUUGAAAAA